ACUCAGGACAAGCGUGUCAGAUAAGGGAUGGAUGAAUGUUUAUUUAUUGUCUGCCUGUUUCUCUUGUUUGUUGCCUGUCCUGUUUAAAAAUGUCCCCCUGCUGUGGGACUGUGGAGGAAAAUUAGUCCCCAUGGCUAACUCUGUGGACCUUUAAACUCAUUUUAAUUAAUCAUCACCUUCUAAUCUCCAAUCAAUCAAUCAAAGGAUUGUCCCACAUUUAGCUGAAUCUGCUGUUAUAAAGUGCAGGACAUCAUAAAGCAGAGCGAGCAGGAACAACAGGAACCUUUUGCUCUUGAUGGAUAUUCCAGCUUUUUUGCAGCAAUCAGUUGAUGUUUACUCUGCGAGGUGCAGCUCUGGCUUCAGGCCUCGUGUUCAGAUCAGGUUACAAAGCAAACAGUGGGUCAGUGAAGAGAGCAGCAGCAUGUUGUGUUCAAUCAGCAGCUGAUCCUCCAUGAAGCCUCCAACCCAGCAGGAGUCACAUGGUCAACCACAUAAAAGACAGACUUUAGCCUUUUCUAUUGCGGUUUUUCUAAUUGAUCCCUGUUAGUCUGUCUUGUUAAACCUGCUGAAUGAAAUGCCUAACCCUAAACCUUUCCAAAGGUCAUGAUUCUUGUUGAACCCAAUAACCACUAAAGUCUGGGUAAACUUUUCACUAAUCAUCCUACUUAUGUAUUUAUAUUUCCUGCAGCUUAAGCUCAGUUCCCAUCCAAACUGGACGGUGCUCAAACUGCUCCUUCUCUUAUAGUUUAUGAUUUUCUCAGUUUCAGGUGCAGCAAGACUCAAAAGCCGGUUUCACACAUGGUGUCUUUGAUGUCUGUUUUAUCUCUGGCUGAGCAGUUUUUGGCGCGGCAGAACUCGGGAGUCUCAUUGAGAACAAAGAAUGAAGUCUUGGUAUCGGCUGAUAAGACACCCCCACACAGUUCUGUUACAGAUCUGUGCUUUCUUCUCACUACACAAAGAGCACUUGGAGCGAUAACCAGUUCGUCUGAUUAUUGCUCAGAUGUCUGACAGGCAGCAAACUGUUUUAGCUUAGCUGUUUACUUCAGGUACUCAUUGUGUCGCGUCUGAGGCAGCGGCUCUCAGGAGCCAACAGGUGCAGAGCUGAACCUGUUGGCAGCGGGUCACUUGUAAAGCGGCAGACAGCGGAACGGCAGAGGGAUGAUAAAACCCAGAGCAGCGGGUUUCCCGUUGACAGGCCGGCCUCUUCCUCACAGACAAUCAGGUUGUACUUCUGAUGGUGAACACCGCGUCCUUUCAGGUUUACUGUUCUGAGACAGCAGCCAAACACAAGCAAACGGUUCACUUAAACUGGAGACUUUUUCUUUAGCAUGAUGUCAUCUUCUCUAGGAAACAACCUGUGGAGUUAAACCUUUUCAGCUUUAUUUCUGCCUUUAAAAUAAAACACAGAAAUGUCUCCAAAGUCGUAGAGCUGAGUCAGCAACUUUAUUGCUAAUCUAUGCUCCACUAUGCUGCUGUAAAUCUGUAGAUUUUUGCCUAUUUUAAACUGUAAGACAUCAUUGUU